ACAAUGAGGGCUUAGUACAAGCCCGUCUUCUAGGUGGCGCCUUGCCCGUUCUGAAUUUUUGUAUUCCCCUACGAUUUUCUUUGAGGGGAAUCCGUUAAACCCGCCCAUCGUUCAAAAAUGGAAGGGCGCGAGGUCACAUCUAUUGGGCCACUUAUUAGCACGUUUCACCCAUGUUUUACGAAAAUAGCUUUAUCCUUGUUUGUUUCAACUGUGACAAGAAAAAAGGAAAAAAAGUUAUAUUCGCUUCUAAAUUCGGCAGUUUUGUUGAUCUUUCUCGACUUGUAAUUUCGUUUCGUUUAGGUUAUGUCUUAUAAAAAUAAAUAUUUAUAAGCUUUUGAAUUGAAAUAUACCUUAAUGCAUAUCUGAGUAAUUAAAAAAUUCAGUUUUUUCGUCCCUCGCGAAGAAACAUAAACAGUAUUUGUGAAAUUUGGAUUAGAAACUAUUAUUUUAUUAGUUUAUUUUGUUGUGUUUAAGUGUUGUGUAUUUGUACCUACUGGAUAAUAUUUUCCAACAUAUUUAAUUAAGCAAAAAGCAUCUGUUUUACAGGUGUGACUGCUAAGUGGUCGUACUCGCCACUUUAACCAAGCAUUGGUGGGACCUUCAGAGAUCAUAAUGCGAAUUUCUUCAUACCAUGUAAAUCUAUAUACAUGUAUUAAUAAAUGCGUUUGCUUUA